rnacentral:lncRNA from 1 species
CCAUCUUAAAGGCCAAAAUCGAGGACAGAAAUGCAUCCAAAUAAAAUCGGUCUCAAAUUUCAAGUCGCAACUAAAAAAUGUACAAACAAGAAAAGGGUUCACUCGAAAAGUUUAACUACCACUGGUACAUAAUCAUUAAGAUGACAUAACAUAGUAAAUGCACAUUGCCUAGAAAGGGCCCGAGCGCGUUCUGCGCAGGUGAUACUUGGGUUCUGGUGGCGGUAUACUAGGUAACACCUUCUCCAGUUCCUGCAAGUACACUUACAAU